rnacentral:rRNA from 1 species
CACCUCUAGCAUUACUAGUAUUAGAGGCAUCGCCUGCCCAGUGACUCACGUUAAACGGCCGCGGUAUUCUGACCGUGCAAAGGUAGCAUAAUCACUUGUUUCUUAAUUGGGGACUAGUAUGAAUGGCUCGACGAGGGUUUAACUGUCUCUUACAUUUGAUCCAUGAAAUUGACCUCUCCGUGAAGAGGCGGAGAUACUAAAAUAAGACGAGAAGACCCUAUGGAGCUUCAAUUUAUUAGUCUACUUGAUCAUAAUAUAACCCUAUUAGGUCCAACAAUACAUCAUACUAGAUUAAUAAUUUUGGUUGGGGUGACCUCGGAGAACAAAAAAUCCUCCGAAAGAUUUUAUAUAAGACUCACAAGUCUAGUAAAUGGAAUUAAUUACAAUUCCAUUAUCUUCAAUUGACCCAGACUUACCUGAGCAAUGGACCAAGUUACCCUAGGGAUAACAGCGCAAUCCUUCUAGAGAGUUCAUAUCGAUAGUAGGGUUUACGACCUCGAUGUUGGAUCAGGACAUCCCAAUGGUGCAGCAGCUAUUAAAGGUUCGUUUGUUCAACGAUUAAAGUCCU